rnacentral:rRNA from 1 species
UGGGGAAUCUUCCGCAAUGGGCGAAAGCCUGACGGAGCAACGCCGCGUGAGUGAAGAAGGUCUUCGGAUCGUAAAGCUCUGUUGUUGGGGACGAAAGGAAAAGGGAGGAAAUGCCCUUUUUAAGACGGUACCCGACGAGCAAGCCACGGCUAACUACGUGCCAGCAGCCGCGGUAAUACGUAGGUGGCGAGCGUUGUCCGGAAUGAUUGGGCGUAAAGGGAGCGCAGGUGGGACGGUAAGUCCUUCUUAAAAGCGUGGGGCUCAGCCCCAUGAAGGGAAGGAAACUAUCGAUCUUGAGUGCCGGAGAGGAAAGCGGAAUUCCCAGUGUAGCGGUGAAAUGCGUAGAUAUUGGGAAGAACACCAGUGGCGAAGGCGGCUUUCUGGACGGCAACUGACACUGAGGCUCGAAAGCCAGGGGAGCGAACG